rnacentral:rRNA from 1 species
CCCGGCGACCGGCGCACGGGUGAGUAACACGUAUGGAACCUGCCCGCAGCAGGGGGAUAAGCGGAAGAAAUUCCGUCUAAUACCGCGUAACACCGCAGAGGGGCAUCCCUCGGCGGUUAAAGAUUCAUCGGCUGCGGAUGGCCAUGCGGCGCAUUAGCUAGUCGGCGGGGUAACGGCCCACCGAGGCGACGAUGCGUAGGGGUUCUGAGAGGAAGGUCCCCCACACUGGUACUGAGACACGGACCAGACUCCUACGGAAGGCAGCAG